GUGGGAUCCAGUCCCGUGACAGGGAUUUCCCCAGGGUUUUGGGUUUGUGGGGAUUUUCCUCAGUCUCUGGUUUUGUGGGGCUUUUCCUCAGGCUGUGGUUCUGUGGGAUCCAGUCCCAUUGCAGGGAUUUUCCUCAGUCUCUGGUUUUGUGGGGAUUUUCCUCAGGAUCUGGCCCUUUGGCAGGAAUUUUCCUGAGGCUCUGGUUUUGUGGGAUCCAGCCCCAUGACAGGGAUUUUCCUCAGGCUCUGGGUUUGUGCGGAUUUUCCUCAGGAUUUGGUUUUGUGGGAUCCAGUCCUGUGGCCAGAAUUUUCCUCAGGAUCUGGCCCUUUGGCCAGGAUUUUCCUGAGGCUCUGGUUCUGUGGGAUCCAGCCCUUUGGCAGGGAUUCUCCCCAGGCUCUGGUUUUGUGGGAUCCAGCCCUGUGACAGGGAUUUUCCUGAGGCUCUGGUUUUGUGGGAUCCAGUCCCAUGACAGGG